GAUCAUCUAUGAAUAACUCAUUUACACUGUAAUCACAAAGCUGCAGUAGAUUGCAACUCAUGAUUCAAAAAUCAAAAGGUACCCAUAGGUCUCAGCAAAUUGGAUGGUCCAAAUCUUGCCCAUAAAUUCAAGCCAGAAUGAACCAAAGAGCAACACAGCAAUCUGUGUAGGAUAAAUAAAACUUGGCUGGGUAUUCAAUACUGGGUUUCUUCCUGAUCUUUACCCAUGUACCAUGGCUUGGACAGUCCAGAAUGAAAAGCAAGAUGAAUUUUCUUCUGUUUACUUGGGUCACAGACUGCAAAUAAGAACCAUCAUCUUUUCUUUUAUUUGCU